UGUGUUUUGUGUGCUCUGUGCUCCGUCUUGGAGCACACGGGGUCCCAGAGCGGACUGGGUGGAAAAGGACCUUAAAGGCCGCCUGGUUCCGACCGCGAGCAGGCGCGUGUUAAAAUUUAGAACCACAGCGUGCGGAGCCUGCCAUUCAUCCCUCGGCGGUGGUUAACUGAGCCCCGCACGGCGGUUCCAACGCGCUGGCGAAUCGCGAUAGUAAAACAGCGAGUGGAGCGUGAUAUCAAAGAAUAAGGCAGCAGUUCCCUCUGCAAUGCUUUCCACACUACUGUUAAUUUACUGGAAGGGAGCGAAUAUGGAGCAGGGAGAUAGGUUUGUCUUUCCCUCCCACAUACACAGAGCUCCUGCAUAACCAAAAAGCCUUCACUCCUGCAGACAGCCCAGGACUCCCUGUUGGACUGGACUCCAUCCCGGGGCUGCAGUGAAGGCGAUGCAGUGCAGGAUUGCUUGAAUUCAGCUGGGCAGUUUGCACGAGGCACAAACCAGAUCAGGGAGGGACACAGCUCAUCCCUCCUCCUGAGAGACCUGCAGAAAUGCUCUGGAAAAGCAAUAAAGCCUGGAGCUGAACAAGCUUGGACAAGUUGGGAGAUUCCUGACGUUAGGGGUGGCUUGAGAUGGUGUCCCGUUGUUAAGCUCUGCUGGAGCUGCCCCAGCAGGAAGCAGGGACACGAGGGCACAGAACAUGCGCUUCUCAUGCAGGCCUUUGGAGACCUCCAGGUCUAGACAGGCUAAGGAGAAAAUCUGCAAAUCCUGAGUCAUUUAAAGAGGUUGUCCAGAGUGAAGUGCUGUGUCCAGGCACUUGACUCUGCUGCUAUUACAGCACAUAAAAAUGCGAAGGGGGUGACAAACUGCCUGAGCCAAAGCCCAGCUGACAUGGAGCACGUCGCACUGGGAGAAGUGGCAGCUGACAGUCCAGGAGAGCUUAAACUCCCGGACACCUGGUAGUGCACCAAGCACCAGGGAAGGGCCCGUGCUGCCACGUAGCUCCUGUGUCACUGCGGCAGGCGCAGCCAGCCCGAGGCCUUGUUAUGUAAAAGAUAUGGUUACCCUCAACCCUGCUCACAGUCCGCUUCUCCAGAUCACCCGGGGCCACGCCGGAAUGAUAAUUGGACUGGGCCACAAGUAAUUGGCAAGAACACUUAAUAGUCUAAUUUAUUCACUGAGAGGGAGACCAUCAAAGGUACAAAGUCAGUUGGGAGCCUAAAUUCCAUUUGGGAAAAAAAGAGAAAAGAAAAAAAGAAAAGGGGGGAAAAGAACAACUCCCUAUCUACAGUAUCUCACAGUAAACGUGCAAUACUGCUGUCCUCCAACAUCAACUGCCAUUAGUGGGACACCCACAAAACACGCUCUGCGUAAUUUGUCUGGCUCGUCUGAGGGCCCAGUCACCGCCCAGUGCAGCAGGCAGUGGUACCCUCUCAGCUGGAGCAGGACCCAGCCUCCAAGUCUUUUCAAGUGCAUUUCCCACACCACCAAAGGGUGUUGCCAGUUCUGAUGGGAGAGUUUGCAGAAGCAAGUAGAGCGCAACCAAUUUGCAGCAAAACCAGUCACAAACACCCUCUUAAAGCCCAAGCAUCUGGGGAGAUGGUGAGCUUUUGGGGCUGGGGGAGAUUAUCUUGGGGGCAAGAAGGAUUAAGAGAGUUUGGCAGCUGGUCAGAGCACUGGCAUUUAGCAGAGGGGCUAGUGAGGUUUUGCAAGAGGGGUGGGGAGGAGGAGGAGGAAGGUUUUUCUGGGUCAGCUGCAUGGAAAAGGCAUGCAGCCUUUUUUCCUCAAUGUAGUGAAGCAGCCCUCUGCAGCCACAUACUUUGUUAGUCCUGAUUUGCAAAGACAUCUUCACGUAACCAUAAACACUACAGAUGGGAAUCUGCUUCUAGGUCAACCCAGUCCAUCCACAGUGCCACAGUAUUUCCCAGAACACCAUUUUCAAGUGACUACAGACUUAAAUUUGAUGGGAGGUUUAAUCCCAGGGUUCAGGAAAGAAUACCACUAUUGCUUAGCUGUUUAAUCUGCUAACACGAAGAGCUACGGUCAACCUCUACAGAACAUCCCUGGAGACAAAGGAUGAACAUGAUCCUUAUUAGCCGCACUAAACUGCAAACACUAUGUCCAUUAAAAAAACCAUCAAAACAUACAGCAGUCCCACAGAGUAUUUACAUUCUCCAGUAAUAACUUGUAAUGCACUAAUAACAUAGAGGUACUUUUUAAUAUAUAGCUAUAAAACUAAGCUCAGGAAGUUGGACUUCAUCACACAGUAUUACAACCUCCGACUUGUCAUAGCACCCAGGUGAGGUGUUCACAGCCCCAUCCGAACUGCCUGCAGCUGCACGUAGCAGCAGGAUCCCUGCACAACUUUUGAUGGAUACAAACAAACCAGCAACUGGUGUCUCAACAGGAGCAGCGCGGGCUACACUGUGAUUUCAAGAAAGCCAAGUCAGGUCCUGCUGCAACUCAGAUCAAAUGACACUUUAUCGGAUACAGUGUAAGCCGCUGUCAUCCUGGUACUCACCCUAAAAGGCUGGUCCGGUAUAAAUGGAAAGUAAGGAAUAGACGACUGCUCUUCCCCCCAUUCUCCGGCUACACAAGAGUUUCUGACAAACUGUCUGUCUGUAAACACAGCUUUCAGUUCUAUGGCUACAUCCGCAGGAGGAUCUUCUGACUCCCCGCAAGUCAGACUGAUGCCAAAGCUGCAACACAAACAGAACGGCUCUCGUUCAGCCAGAAAAAAACCAAAUAAGCCCCAAAUGCCGCCCAGGUUCAUUUCUCAGCUUAUCAAAGCCAUUGGUAUAGUGGCACAGGGGGGAUGACAGCUCAGCUAGUUCAGAGAAACCCUGAAAGCUCAGCAGUGACAGGAACAUGGUUAUGGCAUAUAUAUAUGUCUGUGUGUGCAUGGUGUUGUACAUAUAUGUGUACAUAUAUGCAUAUAUAUAUAUGCUUUAUAUGCUCCUUUACUCCCAAGUGAAAACGGGAUCCCUUGAAGAAAUGCCCCCUCUAUGGGUCAAAGGAGAAAUCAGCAUGCUAUAUUUAAAAUGAUAAAAAUAAUCCUUUCCAGAAAGCAGGGAUCCGUGUGUAUGUGUACGUGCGUGUGGCCGCUCCCCCAUCUCCCCCUGGCCGGGCCCAGGUGUUACCUCUCGGGGUUGAGGUCCACUAUGCCCAUAACUAAGAUCUUCUUUCCCGGCCUCAUUCCUCCUUUGAUGUGCCCACAGAAGGGGACGAUCUGGAAAGGACAGGGGGAAGGUGGCGAGGGUCAGCUCGGCAUCAGCAGCGGCCGCCGUUUUGCAGCCGGGGCGGAGGAGAGGGGGAGAGUAAAGGGGUUAAAAAAAAUAAAAUACCGCCCACCUCCCCCCCCCCCCCAAAAGAAAGAAACCAAAUAAAGGUGGUUUACCAA